UGGAUCCAGACUUUGAUUAUGGCUCAGGAUGAACGCUAGCUACAGGCUUAACACAUGCAAGUCGAGGGGAAACGACAUCGAAAGCUUGCUUUUGAUGGGCGUCGACCGGCGCACGGGUGAGUAACGCGUAUCCAACCUGCCCAUCACUUGGGGAUAACCUUGCGAAAGUAAGACUAAUACCCAAUGAUAUCUCUAGAAGACAUCUGAAAGAGAUUAAAGAUUUAUCGGUGAUGGAUGGGGAUGCGUCUGAUUAGCUUGUUGGCGGGGUAACGGCCCACCAAGGCGACGAUCAGUAGGGGUUCUGAGAGGAAGGUCCCCCACAUUGGAACUGAGACACGGUCCAAACUCCUACGGGAGGCAGCAGUGAGGAAUAUUGGUCAAUGGACGAGAGUCUGAACCAGCCAAGUAGCGUGCAGGAUGACGGCCCUAUGGGUUGUAAACUGCUUUUAUAAGGGAAUAAAGUGAGAGUCGUGACUCUUUUUGCAUGUACCUUAUGAAUAAGGACCGGCUAAUUCCGUGCCAGCAGCCGCGGUAAUACGGAAGGUCCGGGCGUUAUCCGGAUUUAUUGGGUUUAAAGGGAGCGUAGGCCGGAGAUUAAGCGUGUUGUGAAAUGUAGACGCUCAACGUCUGCACUGCAGCGCGAACUGGUUUCCUUGAGUACGCACAAAGUGGGCGGAAUUCGUGGUGUAGCGGUGAAAUGCUUAGAUAUCACGAAGAACUCCGAUUGCGAAGGCAGCUCACUGGAGCGCAACUGACGCUGAAGCUCGAAAGUGCGGGUAUCGAACAGGAUUAGAUACCCUGGUAGUCCGCACGGUAAACGAUGGAUGCCCGCUGUUGGUCUGAAUAGGUCAGCGGCCAAGCGAAAGCAUUAAGCAUCCCACCUGGGGAGUACGCCGGCAACGGUGCAACUCAAAUGAAUUGACGGA
rnacentral:rRNA from 1 species